AACGAACGCUGGCGGCAUGCCUAACACAUGCAAGUCGAACGAGACCUUCGGGUCUAGUGGCGCACGGGUGCGUCACGCGUGGGAACCUGCCCUUAGGUUCGGAAUAACUCCCCGAAAGGGGUGCUAAUACCGGAUAAUGUCUUCGGACCAAAGAUUUAUCGCCUUUGGAUGGGCCCGCGUUGGAUUAGCUAGUUGGUAGGGUAAAAGCCUACCAAGGCGACGAUCCAUAGCUGGUCUGAGAGGAUGAUCAGCCACACUGGGACUGAGACACGGCCCAGACUCCUACGGGAGGCAGCAGUGGGGAAUAUUGGACAAUGGGCGAAAGCCUGAUCCAGCAAGGCCGCGUGAGUGAUGAAGGCCUUAGGGUUGUAAAGCUCCUUUACCCGGGAUGAUAAUGACAGUACCGUGAGAAUAAGCUCCGGCUAACUCCGUG
rnacentral:rRNA from 1 species